UUAAACGAAAAAGAGCGUACGGUGGAUGUCUUGGCAUAUAGAGCAGAAGAAGGACGCAGAAAACGGCGAAACGCCUCGGGGAGUCGUACACAGGCAACGAUCCGGGGGUAUCCGAAUGGGGGAACCCAGCCGCGUUGAAGAGCGCGGUUACCCAUAAGCCAAUACAUAACUUAUGAGGAGAAAACCCAGGGAAUUGAAACAUCUUAGUACCUGGAGGAGAAGAAAACAAACCAGUGAUUCCGAGAGUAGUGGCGAGCGAAAUCGGAGCAGCCCAAACCAGCAACGAGCUGGGGUAGUAGGACCACGAUAUAGUAUUGAAGGAACAUAGUAGGAUGAGAUUGAAAGCUGAGCCGCAGGAGGUGCAAGCCCUGUAGACGAAAUGUGAGAGCAGCUUAGUGGGAUCCUGAGUACGUCGGGGCACGUGGAACCCUGACGGAAGCAACCGGGACCAUCCGGUAAGGCUAAAUACUCCUAUAUGACCGAUAGUGAACCAGUACCAUGAGGGAAAGAUGAAAAGAACCGCGGGAGCGGAGUGAAAUAGAUCCUGAAACCGUAUGCUUACAAAAAGUCAGAGCGCGUUAAUGCGUGAUGGCGUGCCUUUUGUAGAAUGAACCGGCGAGUUAUCCUUGCAUGCGAGGUUAAGCAGACAAUGCGGAGCCGCAGCGAAAGCGAAUCUUAAUAGGGUGUGCAGUAUGCAGGGAUAGACCCGAAGCCGUUGUGAUCUAGUCAUGAGCAGGUUGAAGGUUGGGUGAAUCCAACUGGAGGACCGAACCGACCCCCGUUGAAAAGUUGGCAGAUGACUUGUGAUUAGCGGAGAAAUUCCAAUCGAACACGGCGAUAGCUGGUUCUCCCCGAAAUAGCUUUAGGGCUAGCGUUGGGUGGAUCACCAUGGAGGUAGAGCACUGAAAUCACGCGGGCGGCAUCUAGCCGUACCAAUUGAUAUCAAACUCCGAAUGCCAUGAAUGAAUACCCAGCAGUCAGACUACGAGUGAUAAGGUCCGUGGUCAAAAGGGAAACAGCCCAGAUCAUCAGAUAAGGUCCCUAAAUCUACGCUAAGUGGAAAAGGAUGUGGAGACGCAUAAACAGCUAGGAGGUUGGCUCAGAAGCAGCCAUCCUUCAAAGAGUGCGUAACAGCUCACUAGUCGAGUAUCUCUGCGCCGAAAAUUAACCGGGGCUAAGCGUAGUACCGAAUCUAUGGAUUUGUACAUUAGUACAAGUGGUAGGGGAGCGUUCCAUACAGCGUUGAAGCCAUACCGUAAGGAGUGGUGGAGCGUAUGGAAGUGAGAAUGCCGGUGUGAGUAGCGAAAUGUAGGUGAGAAUCCUACACAGCGUAUGUCCAAGGUUUCCAGGGGAAGGUUCGUCCUCCCUGGGUUAGGCGGGAACUAAGGCGAGGCCGACAGGCGUAGUCGAUGGACAGCAGGUUGAUAUUCCUGCCCCCGCGAAUGGAAUGAUGGAGUGACAGACAAGGUUAGCACUAGUCCUUAAUGGAUUGGGCAAGGCAUGGAUAUAGAUGGCUGAUAGGCAAAUCCGUCAGCGGAAUUCAAACCAUGACUCAAGCGAACGGGCGACCAAGUAGUGAAGUGUGUGAUACCAGGUCUCAAGAAAAGCUUCUAGUGUUAAUCCAUUAGCGGCCCGUACCAAAACCGACACAGGUGGACGAGGCGAGUAGCCUAAGCUGAGCGAGAGAACUGUUGCCAAGGAACUCGGCAAUAUGACCCCGUACGUUCGCAAUAAGGGGUGCUCGAAAGAGCCGCAGUAAAUAGGCCCUAGCAACUGUUUAACUAAAACAUAGCUCUCUGCUAAGUCGCAAGACGAAGUAUAGGGGGUGACACCUGCCCGGUGCUGGAAGGUCAAAAGGAUGUGUCAGGAGCAAUCCAAAGCACUGAAUUGAAGCCCCAGUGAACGGCGGCCGUAACUAUAAGGGUCCUAAGGUAGAGAAAUUCCUUGUCAGGUAAGUUCUGACGCGCACGAAUGUUAUAAUAAUCUGGGCUCUGUCUCGACAUCAGGCUCGGUGAAUUCUUAAUACCUGUGAAGAUGCAGGUUACCCGCGACUAGACGGAAAGACCCCAUGGAGCUUUACUGUAACUUAAUAUUGAGCGCUUGUACU
rnacentral:rRNA from 1 species